CAAAGUCACAAGCCAGAGUCACACCAGAGAUUGGAGCACAGGGCUGUCUGACAUCUUACAAACAGGAUAGCAGCCCUAGAAUCAUCAAGGUCCUUUGCCCUUUCAUUCUCCCUCUGAGGGCAUAAGAAGACUAGCAGAAUCCUCCAGUUCUGCUACUAAGAUGCAUCAACUGUUCUAAUGCAGUGGGAAUAAGAUGGUUGGAGAGCUAAGCAGCAUGUGCAGAGUGAGGUUUUCCAGUUAGCCUGAGCAAGAAGAAUACUUUGACUGCGUCCAGACUUCCCUUUCAACUUUCUCGGAUCAGCCUGUCACUAAAUCUUUGUGUUUCAAUCUUUGUAAUUAAACCUGAAAAGA